rnacentral:rRNA from 1 species
GACUUCUGGUUUAAUGCACCUGGCCCGCGGCCCACAAGGCCUGUGAGUGCCGGCGCGCGUUUACCAUCCUUCCAGCAACGGCUACCCUUAACUGGGCGUCUUUGAAAAAUUAGAGUGUUAAAGCAGGCGUUGCUCUGAAUACAUUAGCAUGGAAUAAUAAUCUAGGACUUCGGUUCUAUUUUGUUGGUUUCUAUAACUGAAGUAAUGAUUGCUAGGGAUAGUUGGGGGUGCUAGAAUGGCCGGUCAGAGGUGAAAUUCUUGGAUUCGGUCAAGACGAACUUAUGCGAAAGCAUU